GGGAAAACUCGGCUUUUUGGUUUCGGCAGGAAAACUCGGUUUUUCGGUUUUGACGGAAAAACUCGUUUUUAUUUUGACGGGAAAACUCGGUUUUUCGGUUUUGGCGGGAAAACUCGAUUUUCGGUUUUGGGGGGGGGGGAACUCGGUCUUUCGGUUUCGGCGGGAAAAAUCGUUUUGUCGGGAAAUUUGAGUUUUACGGUAUUGGCGGGAAAACACAUUUUGCGGUUUUGGCGGGAAAACUCGAUUUUGCGGUUUUCAGUCGGAAAACUCGAUUUUGCGAGUUUAGCAGAAAACUCUAUUAUACGGUUUUUACGGGAAUAUUCAGUAUUGCGGUUUUGGACCAGUUCAAAAUAUAACACAAAUCGAUAAAAUAAUAACUUUUUAGAAAAUUCUAUGUAUAUAUUUUUUUCCCUGUAAAAUUAUAAAUUAAUAAUAUUUAAAUAUAUAUAAUUCAUAAAAGCACAAACAAACAUUGUAUUAUUAGUAUUAUUUCCACAAUGGAAUUCAUGUCUAUUUUUUCUUAAUCUUAAAUAUAUUUUGAUAAUAUUUAGUAAUGUUCUCAAAAUCGCUAGGCGGUAACUAUGCGUUUUAUAGAGGACUAGCGACUAGGCGGAUUAUUCGGGGCCUAAGCGAGGCCUAGGCGUUAGCAAAUUAUUGAUUUAUUUUAUAUAUUUUAUACAUUUGUAUAACAUAUUUUAGUUUUUAAGUUUAAUUAUAAAAUUAUUGUGAUGAAUUAUCAAAAUUAGAUAUACAAAACAGAAGAAAGUAGACAAAUUUGUAGAUUUGUAAUAAUAUUAUUGCUUUAUUUAACAUAUAUAGACAAUUUUAGAUCGAUUUUAACCAAUUUUAACCGAUUUAGAACAGUUUAAACCAAUUUGAAUCAUAUAAAUCAGUAUAAAUCGGAUUUUAAGAAAAUCGUUUCGGAUAGGACCGAGUUGCUGCCUAGGCGGGGGCCUAGGCGCCGCCUAGACCGAUUUUUAGAACCCUGAUAUUUAGUUAAAUUAUAUCUAAAACCAUAUUCGAGUCAUAUGAAACAUAUUUCAUAUACAUCAAAUAAUAUAAUAAAAAUAUCAGAGUCUAGUUUCUAAAAUUUAAUUAAUGUAUAUACAGUAAAACUAACAAUUUUUUUUACAAAAAAUAUAUAAAUUUUUUAAAAAAAAACUUUUUGUAAACUAAUACCCUUAUAAAUUAAUAAAUUACCAUAUUUCCAUCAUUAUUAAUUUAUUGAGUUUUUACUGUAAUAUUACAUGUUUGAUUUUGGAAAAUAGGCACCAUAUGUUAAAAUUAUAACAAUUGUGAAAGCUUAGAAAUGUACCACUCUACUUAAGCAAUUAAAAAGUUGGGUCAAAUCAUACUCAAAAGAAAGACUAAUAAUUGACAUGGAACAGAUUAAUCAUAGCCUUAGAGCGGCUGCAACGGGAGUCCGUCAUGAGUCCGUAGCCCAAGUCCUUAGGAUAUUUGAAUAUUAAUAUUGUGAAAUGGGCUUGUUUUUAGACGGAUCUGUACGGAUCAAUCCGUUAAUAAGGGAUCAAAGGAUUGAGUCCUUCAUGUACACGUGGCGUGCGAUGGUUGGGCUUUGGAUACUUUUGUGUUCCGUUUAGGUGAAAAAAAAAUCAUUCGCGUUUGAACCCGAGGAAAAAAAAUUCAGAGCUCAAGUGAAGAGGCGAUUUCUCUCCGUCGUCGAUCGUCUUCUUCCGUUAUCUUCAAAGGCAAAUACCGUUCUUCUGUGGUAGAUUUAAGCAUAGGUUAGCUUCGUUGUUGUUCUCGUGUCCCUCUUUGCUUCGUAUUUCCGUCGAAUCGAAUUGGGGAUUUCUUCGAUUUAGGGUUUCAAAAAGUUUCGAUUUUGGAAUUUGUUUUGAAUUCGUUUAUGUUCAAUUGGGGAUCAUUUUGUUUGUAGUUUGGGUUUCAAUUCGUUUUGGGUUUCAAAACACGAAUUGUUUUCAGUGAAGAUUUUGUCAUCGAUUUGUUUUCCUUGUAUUGUUUAGCUUCCAUGUAUAGAUAGGUUAGCUUACUUGUAUUGUUUUGAGCUUAUCUUAUUUUUUGCUUAGUUCGAAAACUAGUUAACUAGAUCCCUCAUUAGUCUCUGUUGUUGCGUUUUGUUCUUAAUAUUUUUUUUUCUUAUUCGCUAACAUAGUUUCUCUUACCAUAAUUUCUGCAGGCGAACGAACCAUGGGCCAAGACUAUAGCUACACUCAGCCUUCUUCUUCGUCAGAGGAGUUAGACAUCACCUCUUUAAUUGUAGCAGAAGGUGAACUCUACGCCAAUGAAGUUAAGAGUAACUUCACAAUUUCACAGGAGGAUCAGUACGCAGCUGCACCUGAGGCCGAUGAAGGGAUCCCAAGGACAUGCUAUUGCGGUAGUGAGCCUGUAGUUAAAACGUCGUACACUCCAAAAAAUCCAUACAGGAGGUACUUCUCCUGCAACAACGUCGACGAUGGAGAGUGCCACAUCUGGAAAUGGUGGGAUGUGGCGAUGCAAGAAGAGCUCCGUGAAACGCAAAUACAACUUAGGAUGCUCAAGGAUCAAUUCUUUGAGAGUGACCAGAAGGUGGCUAAGCUAGAGAAGAUCUUACGUGUGCUAAGUAAGAAGACAGCAGUGGUUAAAUAUCGGUUUGCAAAGGGAGUUUGUCUACUGCUCUUGGUAAUAGUGGUCAUCGUAAUGUGGAGGAAGAGCCUCGGAGGAUUUAAACAUCAGUGUCUGAACUCGAGUUGGGCUUCAAAGGUACUAUAAUUAUUAUAGUUUAGAUAUAUUCAGUAAAUUAAAAAUAACCUCUUUCUUCAUGCUUUAAUGAUACUUCCUAACUCCUUGGAUUUGAUAGAAUCGUACUUGUUAGCUUUAAGUGUAGCUACUAUAGAACUUAUUAUGCUGAUAAGAGUGGUGGUAAAUGCUUGUUUGCUUUGUAGUGGUGGUAAAUGCUAGUUUGCUUUCUAUCUGCCAAACUACUACGAAACUAAAUGCUAAAUCACUUUCUAUCGCUUACUUAAGGGUCUGUGUUGCUAAUAGAGUAACACAGACCAUCAUCUAAAAUGAAUACCAGUACUGGGUACGUUAAUCUGUUGAAUAGUCAGAGUUCAGUUGACCUUGAGUCACCCGAACCAGCUUGGUUCGGUAGCCAAGGUCGUGACGAGUAUGUUUUCAACCCUGCUGUCGAGUCUUCUGUCCAGCCUGGUAUCGAGUCUCCUGUCCAGCCUUCUGUCUCAGAGAGGAGAAAAUGGACUGUCAAUGAGGAUAAAAUCCUCAUUGGUGUGUGGCUUAACACCAGCAAAGACCCUGUAGUGAGCUGUGAACAGAAAGCAGAACGUUUCUGGAAGAGAAUCGUUGACUACUACAACGCAAGCCCACAACUGGUUGGGAAAGUACCUAGAGAGGUUCGUCCAGCGAAGCAGAGGUGGUCUAGGAUUAACGACCAAGUCUGUAAAUUCGUUGGAUGCUAUGACGCGGCGUUGAGGGGGGGCAGAGAAGUGGUCAGAAUGAAGACGAUGUAAUGAAAGCUGCCCUCGACUCAUUCUACACCAUUUACGGGCACAAGUUCAGCCUCGAACAUGCGUGGAGGGAGCUGAGGCAUGACCAGAAAUGGCAAGCGACCUAUACGGUUAAAGACAGAGAGAAGGAGAAGCGCAAACAAGUCCACGAUGUUGAUACAGAAGAUGAAGUGGCCGAACCUGAAAUUAGACCAGUUGGUGUGAAAGCUGCUAAAGCUGCUGGUAAGAUGAAGAAGAGUGGCAAGGAAGAAGAGAUGUCACAGCUCCAGUCGAUCUUGCAAAUGAAAGAAAAACUCUCAAAACAAAAAAUCCUAGAACGUUUAUUUGGAAAAAAAGAUCCAGUCUCUGAGGUGGAAGAAUCACUCAAACUGAAACUGAUGAAUGAGAUGUUAUGAAGGUAUUAAUGUGCGUAUGUAGUUGCAUUGUAUAGUUACAUGUCGUCUCUACUUGGAUUGAGCAGUUAGUUUGAGCAGUUACUUUGACUAGUUACUUUGAGUAGUUACUUUGAGUAGUUACUUUGAGUAGUUACUAACACUUGUCUUUUCUCAUGUUUCAGGUACAGCAGCAGGACAUGUGAACCAAGUCACGGGUGCGUUUGGAAUCUCGAAGUGUGUUGUUGUUUUGCGAGUCACGGGUUUAUGUUUUGUUUAAGUAGUAGUAGUAUAAGUAACCCUCUCUGUUUUCCCCUUUGGUUACUCUCUAUCAAACUUCUUUCCUAUCUAUCAAAGGUGUAAUCUUCUUGCUGUAAUCUUGUUGCUACAAACUCGGCCUCAACUUCAAGUUGUUGUAAUCGAAGAAGUUUUAGGUAACUUCUCUUUAUGUUCUCUUUCAUCAUCAGUCUUUGUUUAAUGUUUUAGCUAACUUCUCAUCAGCUUCUCUGUCAGUUAAUAGACCCAGAAAUAUGUGAAGUUUAUCAUAACAACUAUAACUUAUAAUUACUCUAUUACAGAAUGAAUUAUGUUGCUCUGCCACUUACAUAAAUAUUUUAGACAUGUUUUAUUAUAUUUUCUGGUCAAAUAAAUAUAAAUACAGAUAGAUUUUGAUAUAAAUACGCAAAUAAAUAUAAAUACAGAUAUAUUUUAACUAAUUUGGAGUAAGAUUGAUAAAAGGGAAAUGUGAAUCUCUUACAUAAUUUUAACUAAUAGAUUAAAAACUUGUACAAUAUAAUUAUUUAUGAAACAGGAUAUCUAGAAAUGUCAUCAUCUUCAUCGGAUGAAUUCGAAGAGAGAUUGGACGAAGUUUUCGAUGAAAUCUUUGAAGAUACUUUCAACAAUAUAGUGGAGGCCCAAUCCAUACCGCAAAGUAGACGUGCUUAUGUGGAACGAAACCGCGAAGGAGGACACGUCCGCUUAUGGAAUGACUACUUCAGCGCAGAUUGUAUAUUUCCGGCACAUUUAUUCAGACGUCGUUUCCGCAUGAAUAAGGAAUUAUUCUUGCGUAUUGUCCAUGGCCUAUCAGAGUGGGUUCCAUUCUUUCAGCAAAGAAGAGAUGCAACCGGGAGGUUCGGUCUAUCUCCAUUACAAAUAUGUACGGCAGCUAUUCGUAUGCUUGCUUAUGGUUCUGCGGCUGAUGCGGUUGAUGAAUAUCUCCGACUUGGUGAGUCCACUGCACUUUCAUGUUUACAUAAUUUCACUGACGGAAUAAUACAAUUAUUUGGAGAAGAGUAUCUACGACGACCCACACCCGAGGAUCUACAACGACUACUCGAUAUUGGGGAGAAACGAGGGUUUCCUGGGAUGGUCGGGAGCAUUGACUGUAUGCAUUGGGAGUGGAAAAAUUUCCCAACCGCUUGGAAAUGACAGUACACACGUGGAUCAGGAAAACCGACAAUUGUCUUAGAGGCUGUUGCUUCACAAGAUCUUUGGAUAUGGCAAGCUUUUUUUGGUCCUCCAGGUACCUUAAAUGAUAUCAAUGUCCUCGAUCGGUCUUCUGUUUUUGAUGACAUUUUAGAAGGUCGAGCUCCGAGGGUAAAGUACAUGGUCAACGGACACAUGUAUAAGUUGGCGUACUACCUCACAGACGGUAUAUAUCCAAAAUGGUCAACAUUUAUCCAAUCUAUCACCCUCCCUCAAACUCCUCAACAAGAGUUAUUUGCUAAAGUUCAAGAAGUAACCCGAAAAGAUGUGGAGCGGGCUUUUGGAGUAUUGCAAGCUCGAUUUGCGAUUGUGAGAAACCCGGUAAAAACAUUGGAUAGAGAAAAGAUAGGGAAGAUUAUGAGAGCAUGUAUCAUACUCCACAAUAUGAUUGUCGAAGAUGAACGGGAUGGAUACUCUCCUAUUGAUGAAGAUUAGGAAUUAUUCUAUAUUUAUGUUAAAUAAUUGUUAUUAUCUUUAAUUGUUGUAUUUUUAUGUUUAAUUAAUGUAUUUUAUGUUUAAUUAUUGUAUUUUAUGUUAAGUUAUAGUAUUUAUUCAUCUAAUAUAUAAAAAAUUUAUUUCACUAAAAAAACAAUUUUUUAAUUCCUAAGGAUUCUAAUUUUGGGAUCACCAUUGUACACACAUUUUUCACAAGAAUCCUUAACUAUUCAAAAAAAAUAAUAAUAAUAAUAAUUACUAAUCUAAUCUUAAGAACUCCACAAUUGGUAUCACCAUUGUGGAUGCUCUUAUUUCCAUGUUCACGGUUGCAGUUGCAGUUGCGCUGAGCUUGGAACAUAAGGGCACACAAAUGGGUACUAGAAUACCGGGAGCACAAAUCCAAAUUUGUUGUUUUUUCUAUGAUUCAGACCUCUCCCAUAUUCACAGACUUGAAAUAUUCAUCGUGUCCAAUUAUGUUAGCUCUUUGGUUGUAACGGAUCUCAGUCCGUGUCCACCAUUGUCUAGAUCGACAAGCACAGCAACUUUCCUCGUCAAUGAAGAAACUCCCAGCUAGACCAUCAACAUUAAAAAUAGAGAUGAACCUCAAUAACUUGCUCCAUGAAACAGCGUCUUGAUUAAUCUUAUUUGUGAUCCAAAUCUCCAAUGCCGGACCGUUCACCCAGCUUUCCUGUAAGACCGCAAGCUGCUCCUCUCUAACAAAAGAUAACGACACAAAUAUAUCUACACUAUGAGCGUUAAAUGGUGGAGGCAGCCGCUUACUAAAUCUCUUUGUUGUAAAAUCAAAAGAGAUUAUAUCCUCAAUAUUAUUUCUUCUACCCACUCUCAUCCUCUUUUUAGCUAAAAGAUGAGUAUUCCUUUCAGAGACACGCCACUUUGAUAAAAAUCUAUAUUUAUUUCAGUAAAAAUAAUGCGUGAUUAUGAAAAAUAUCACUGAUAGAUUUGUUUACAUGUAAAGGGUAUAUGUUUUCUCUUUUAACUAUCUAAAAUGCUGCAUUUCAUGCUUUGAUUUUAUUAGUCGCCUAAUUUGGGUAUAUAUAUGUUUUUCAGUUCCAUUUUCCAGGACAAGUGUAGUUUACUAUAAUGUAGUCCAGUUUUGUUAUAUCAGGCUAUGUCGAGAUGACUGUUGCAGUAACCGAGUCAGUGUUGAAGAAGAGAAUGAGCGAGCACGGAACAUUCUAAUGCACCCUAUAUUUCAUAUGUUGAAUGAGCUAGGUCCAUAUGUUGGAUCCAAUUGGUGUCAAAAUAUAUGCCUUCUCUAUGAUAACAUUCUGAUGCACCUUGGGUUUCAGGGGUUAGGGAAGCAUGACAUCAUCUAUGUGGACGAUCUGAUCCCACAUUUCGUAGAACAUUUGUGUUAAAAAGUGUGCCUAGACGAGGCCUAGGCUAGAGGUGAAGUUACUUGGACCCGGCGGUGAUUGUGGUAAAAUUGAAGAAGAUUUUGGAGGAGAUGGGGCUGGUGAAUUGUUUGUGGAAGUUGAAGAGUAUAAUUAUGAUGAUGAAUGGAUUUUUAGUUUUAAAGUUUGUUUUCAGCUUAGUUUUAUGAAAACUUUAUUUUAAAACUUGUUUGAAUAGUUUAUUGUUCCGUUGUUUUCUAUUACCUAAAUACUUUUUUGACAUUUGAAAGUACACACUUCAGUUCUUAAACUUGGAAAAUUUAAACAAUUUACACUAGCAGAAGUUCAGUCACAUGAUUCAGAAGUAAUCGUUAAGAGGAGAAAAACAAAAACAAG